AUGUUUUUAUAUAUAAACUUUUUUAUUUAUCGCAUGCGUACGACAGGCGUAGGUGUAUUGUAAAAACGCGGAGGGUCUCCCCUCGCGCUAGAGUGCACAGGUGUGUGAAAGGGAUUUGAAAAUAAAUUCAGCAAUGAUCCUUCCGCAGGUUCACCUACGGAAA
rnacentral:misc_RNA from 1 species